rnacentral:rRNA from 1 species
AGGGCGCAUGGCGGAUGCCUUGGCUCUCGGAGGCGAUGAAGGACGUGAUAAGCUGCGAUAAGCUUCGGGUAGGUGCAAAUAACCUUUGAUCCGGAGAUUUCCGAAUGGGACAACCCGAUUAGUUGAAGACUAAUCAUUCCGCAUAGCGGAAGGCUAACGCAGGGAACUGAAACAUCUUAGUACCUGUAGGAAAAGAAAAUAAAUAAUGAUUCCCCUAGUAGUGGCGAGCGAACGGGGAAUAGCCCAAACCAUUUAUGUUACGGCAUAACUGGGGUUGUAGGACCACGUUGUGGCAUGAAAGUUGGUGAGCGGAAUGUUCUGGAAAGUACAGCCAUAGAGCAUGAUAGCUGCGUAUGCGAAGCCAACCGAAGCCUAGUGGUAUCCUGAGUAGCGCGGAGCACGAGGAAUUCUGCGUGAAUCUGCCGGGACCAUCCGGUAAGGCUAAAUACUCCCGAGAGACCGAUAGUGAACCAGUACUGUGAAGGAAAGGUGAAAAGCACUUCGAACAGAAGAGUGAAAUAGUUCCUGAAACCAUGCGCCUACAAGCGGUCGGAGCCCUUUUGGGGUGACGGCGUGCCUUUUGCAUAAUGAACCUACGAGUUACUUUUUCCGGCAAGGUUAAGAAUCUCAGAUUUGCAGCCGAAGCGAAAGCGAGUCUUAAUAGGGCGUAUAGUCGGAAGGAGUAGACGCGAAACCAAGUGAUCUACCCUUGAGCAGGUUGAAGGAUGGGUAACACCAUCUGGAGGACCGAACCAAUAAGCGUUGAAAAGCUUCUGGAUGACUUGAGGGUGGGGGUGAAAGGCUAAUCAAACUUGGAGAUAGCUCGUACUCCCCGAAAUGCAUUUAGGUGCAGCCUUGACUUAUACUGACAUGAGGUAGAGCGACUGAUAAGAUGCGAGGGCUUCACCGCCUAUCAAGUCUUGACAAACUCCGAAUGCGUGUCAGUUCUAUGUCAGGAGUGAGGGCAUGGGUGCUAAGGUCCAUGUCCUAAAGGAGAACAAUCCGGACCAACAGCUAAGGUCCCGAAAUGAAUACUAAGUUGAACUAACGAAGUCAGAUUGCUAAGACAGCUAGGAUGUUGGCUUGGAAGCAGCCAUUCAUUUAAAGAGUGCGUAACAGCUCACUAGUCGAGGAGUUUGGCGUGGAUAAUAAUCGGGCAUUAAGUAUUCUACCGAAGCUUUGGGAUGAGUAAUCAUCGGUAGGGGAGCAUUCCACUCAGCGUUGAAGGUGAAGCGUGAGCUUUGCUGGAGCGUGUGGAAAAGCAAAUGUAGGUAUAAGUAACGAUAAAGGGGGUGAGAAACCCCCUCGCCGAAAGACUAAGGUUUCCUGAUCAACGCUAAUCGGAUCAGGGUUAGUCGGGUCCUAAGGCUCAGCCGAACGGCGAGGCCGAUGGCAGAACCGGUUAAUAUUCCGGUACUACCUUCAGGAGUGACGUGGAGACGGAGCAGUGAUAAUGCCGCCGACUGACGGAAUAGUCGGUUAAAGGGUGUAGAUGUUGAUUUCUGUAGGCAAAUCCGCAGAGAGAGUCGAACCUGAUAGUACGGAGCGUUCUUCGAACAAUCCGAUAGUGCAUGUAAGCAUACUCCCGAGAAAAUCCGCUAAACUUAAUCCUGACGGUACCCGUACCGUAAACGGACACACGUAGUCGGGUUGAAUAUACUAAGGCGCUUGAGUGAUUCACGGUUAAGGAACUAGGCAAACUGACCCUGUAACUUCGGGAUAAAGGGUCCUCAGGGUAACUUGAGGCGCAGAGAAUAGGUCCAGGCAACUGUUUAACAAAAACACAGGGCUGUGCAAAAUAGAAAUAUGAAGUAUACAGCCUGACACCUGCCCGGUGCUGGAAGGUUAAGAGGAGAUGUCAUCGCAAGAGAAGCAUUGAAUUGAAGCCCCAGUAAACGGCGGCCGUAACUAUAACGGUCCUAAGGUAGCGAAAUUCCUUGUCGGGUAAGUUCCGACCUGCACGAAUGGUGUAAUGAUCUGGACGCUGUCUCAACCGUGAGCUCAGUGAAAUUGUAGUAUCGGUGAAGAUGCCGAUUACCCGCGAUGGGACGAAAAGACCCCGUGAACCUUUACUAUAGCUUAACAUUGAAUUUGGGUAAUUGAUGUGUAGGAUAGGCCGGAGGCUUUGAAGC